UACGAGUGCCCCGAGCGUUAUCCGGAAUCAUUGGGCGUAAAGGGUGUGUAGGUGGCAGUGUUAGUCAUACGUUAAAGCCUCGGGCUUAACCCGAGAUCUGCGUUUGAAACGGCACAGCUAGAGGAUGCGAGAGGUCUGUGGAACUCAUGGAGUAGGGGUGAAAUCCGUUGAUAUCAUGGGGAACACCAAAAGCGAAGGCAGCAGACUGGCGCACUCCUGACACUGAAACACGAAAGCGUGGGUAGCAAACGGG
rnacentral:rRNA from 1 species